AGAGUUUGAUCCUGGCUCAGGAUGAACGCUGGCGGCGUGCUUAACACAUGCAAGUCGAACGUAAACCUGCAGCAAUGUGGGUGAAAGUGGCAAACGGGUGAGGAACACGUAGAUAACCUGCCUCGCAGUGGGGGAUAACCACGGGAAACUGUGGCUAAUACCGCAUGUCUUGGCUGUCACGGGAGUGAUGGACAAGAAAGCUUUAGUGCUGUGAGAGGGGUCUGCGUCCGAUUAGCUAGUUGGCGAGGUAAAGGCUCACCAAGGCAUUGAUCGGUAGCUGGUCUGAGAGGACGAUCAGCCACACGGGAACUGCGACACGGUCCCAACUCCUACGGGGGGCAGCAGUGAGGAAUAUUGGGCAAUGGGCGCAAGCCUGACCCAGCAACGCCGCGUGAAGGACGACGGCCUUCGGGUUGUAAACUUCUUUUUGGGGGAAAAGAGAGGAUGUACCCCCAGAUCAUCCCGC
rnacentral:rRNA from 1 species